AGUAGCUCGUGAUGGGAUAUUUGCCUGGCGUGAGUGAGCCUGGGCUCCACCCCCACUGCUGCGAAAUAAAUACAUAGCUGAACACACCCAUCGGAGAAGGGAGAGUGCUCGCCUUUCAUCAGCAGAGGGAACAGAGGCGUUCUGGGCUCAUCAGGAGCCAAGGAUGGAGAAGGGCGGGAUUGAACUUGCCUUGACUUCAGAGCCACCAUUUGUCUCUUUCUGGCUUUCCUGGGUGACAAACAGGUCUGACCACUGGACCGGGAAGAGCUCAUUUCUGCUCAGUCAUAUACCUAACAAAGUGAUUACUCAGUAUGGGGGUCACUCAGCACCGGGCCUAUCAGGGCUGGCUUUUACACCCCAUAUUUCUUAUGGACCAGAACCUUCUGAGCAGACACGGGUAAUAUACAGUGGACUCCCAUGAGGUUCUUUGGCAGCGCCUACUGGAACCAAGCUCUGCUAAAGAAAAUCAACGUGUCAGCACUGAUGGCAUUUGCUUCUCAGCUUCCCUGUGCUGGAUCCUACCUGAGAUGCUUGAUCUGGGGACGUAGCAUCCGUCAAGACCGGCCCUGGAGCACCCUACACUGACUCCAGCCACACCACCUGCCACCGUGUCACGAAGUCACAACCUCUCGCGUUGUUCUCACACCAAGGCUUCUUUCGCCAUGAGCAAACAAAAAUAAAACUGCGGGUAUUGCCAGCGAGGUUAAUUUUAUGUUACGUAUUGAUCGCACAGUUGGUUUCCGCAUGGGAGAAACUGAGUGAUCACUUUUGAGCUCUAGGAGAAGAAAAGUGCUGAAUAAGACAGCAUGCUUCCAAUGACUCAUUUCUCACCAGGAGGAAAAUGUCCCAGAUUCGAAGGAGCAGGGAGACCAGCCCUGGUGACUGCUGUAUUCAGCACAGCAAUGAGAAGUCUCGCAGAAACAAGGACACACAAGAGAUGCUCAAUAGAUAUUUGUAGAGCUGGGGGGGGGGGUGGCACGCGUCUGUCAUGACAGUCCUCCUUGAGAGGCUGAGGCAGGAGAAUCAGUAGUUUGAGGACAGCCUGGGUUAUGCAGUAAAUUCAAGGGCAACCUAAAGUAGACAGGCAGACCCUGUAUCAAACAUUUGCGAAAUGCAUUUGGCCACCAUUUGACAGCUACAAAACUAUAAUGAUUUGGACCAGGCCUGGUGGCACACGUGUAAAUCUCAGCUACUCGGGAGGCUGAGACAA